CGUCGCAGCCCCGGAUUACGCCCUCCCUAGUCGCCCCGGAUCCUCGCCGCGUGGAUUUCUAUCCGGGUGCGUCAUCCUCAUCGCCGUGGUGGUCGUGGUCCUCCGCCGCCGCUCCCCGUCCCCGGUCCCCGUCCGCAUCUCCGCUCCGUCCCGGUGCGCCGCCUCUCCCCAUCCCUGGCUGCUGUACGCGCCACCGCUGCUCUGUCCCCGGCCACCGCGCCGUCCGCGCACCGCCACGCCAUCCCUGGCCGCCGCGCUGUCUCUGGGCGCGGCGCCGUCCCCGGCCGCGACGCCGCCCGCAGGCUGCCGCCGCGUCGUUUACGCGCCACCGCCGCCGUGCCAUCCACUCCGCCGCGGACGACACCGGCACGCUCACCGUCUUCACCAACGAGAAAGGCGGCGCCAUCGACGAUUCCAUCAUCACCAAGGUCACUGACCAGCACAUAUACCUCGUCGUCAACGCCGGCGGCAGGGACAAGGACCUCGUCCACAUCGAGGCGACAUGGAGGUCUUCAACAAGAAGGGCGGAUAUGUCAAGUGGCACAUCCACGAUGAGCGCACGCUGCUCGCAUUGCAGGAGCAGGACCUCGAUGGAAAUAAGGUUGUCAAAGAAGUGAUUUUUGGCCCAGGGGAGAAAAUGUAUCGUUACUGCAAGCACAUCUGAAAGCAACGCCUCCCAAACCUGUCUAACAACCUAAUGAAGAAGAGAAAACAUUUCAUAUCGAUACGCAGCCCUCUAAAUGUACUGGUAUCUAUCACUUUUUUUUUGUCUAGCAUCACAUGCAGCUUGCCAUAUUCUUCGGUUGCACAGUUUCUAUUUUUUGUAGCACAUCCGCAGAAAGGAAACCCAUUAUGCUUUCCAAAUUAUUUUGCUUUAGCAGAGUUUGCAUAUUUUAUAGUGUACCUAAUACCUCCUGGCUACCACUAAUAACACUUGAUUCCAUAUACCCAGACAUCUAAAUAAAGUCAUUUCACCAUCCUUCUUGGAGCUUGGUAUAGGCGAGCUUGUCUCAAUAUACAGUGAAUUAUGUGAAAUUGGGAAGGCACCUCCUGUGAUAGAUGCAGAUGACCUGCAACAAGAACCUGAGGACCUGCUGGACCACCCGAGGGGAAACUGCGGCAGGGUGCUCGGAAGCAGCGCACGCUUAUCGACGAUUUCAUCCCCACCAUUGAGGGCAAGAAUGCCAUACACUACCCACAUCCGAAGAGGCUUCUUGGUAUUUAGUCCGGCCACGAUUUAUUUACCUGAUGAUGCCUCUUGCUAGGAAAAUUCAGCAAUCAAACAAUGAUGCAAACAGUCAGGUGAAAUUAUACAUAUAGAGAUGGGAAAAUAACAAAUAAGUGUUUCUUCAUAUGCGGUCCUUCUUAUAUGCAUGUUAGUUGCAUGCUUGAAUUGCAUGAGCAAGCAAAUUCAAUAUGCAAAUAAGUCGCAACAUUUGCAAAAAAGUGUGGCGGCUUGAUGCUAAUCUAUGUUCGAAAUAAAUUUAUUAUUUUGUCCUCUAAACUGUAUAUGAGACAUGUCAUACAAAUCGAGGACAGUAGCUUCAUAUUAUUCUAAAAUGCACAAAUUCUAUUGGUUAAGUAUACCUGAACUUAAUUCCUAUUGCUAUCUUUAAGGGAUCAAUUAUGGUUAUUGCUAUCUGCAUGUUUGGGCAACCUCGAGUGCUCUGAAAAUAGUCAUCUAUCAGACAUCCUCCACUAGAAUUACUCACUGGAUUAAUUAUAAUUUUCAAUCAGAUGGACAUCAUUAUAGUACCAAUACUCUUUAUUCUUAGAAUUUAGUAUGCUAUCAUUUCAGGUUCACCUGGUUCAGUAUUAUAUUUUCAGGUUCAGGAACAAAGUAAGGAUUCUAAUUGGUAACUUUUGUGGUGCGUAUGGCGACCUCCGGUCACCAAGAGUAAUCAUUCAAGGGGUUCAUUGUCUCCUCUAAACGGAUCAUGGUAUGGUCAUAAGAGAUUAAGAGUACAAUCUGGUCUGGCACCAUUGGUUGAAGAAGAAAAUGUAUUUACCACUUGGUGAUGUGACAAACUCAACAAACCUCGGAAAUUUUGGAGCAAAAUGAUGCAAGGUGAUGUAUUCUUGCGCGUUUUUGGCAUCCACUAGGAGAUGGAACAUUCAUCGAACUGGAGCAGGUGUGGAUAGGCGCACGGAAGAUCUCGACACUGAUGUAGACACACUUAAGUACUUAACAGAGCAUGCACAAUAUCUUUAGUUGGCUUAUAAAGAAAACUUUUUGUUUCUGCCACAAUGAAAAGUAUAGAUCAUUAAUUUGUCCAUGAUCGAAAAUAGAUAAUAUAUGUUAUGACAUGUUUUUUAGUGUAGAAAAACAAUUGAUGAUUAUAGUAUAGCAUCAUCCAGUAUAUUGCAUUUCAGGUAUCUGAUAA